UACAGAGGGUGCAAGCGUUUGUUCGGAAUUAUUGGGCGUAAAGCGCGUGUAGGCGGCUCUGUGUGUCGGGUGUGAAAGCCCUCGGCUUAACCGAGGAAGUGCGCCCGAAACUGCAGAGCUUGAGUGCCGGAGAGGAUAGCGGAAUACCCGGUGUAGAGGUGAAAUUCGUAGAUAUCGGGUGGAACACCAGUGGCGAAGGCGGCUAUCUGGACGGACACUGACGCUGAGACGCGAAAGCGUGGGGAGCAAACAGG
rnacentral:rRNA from 1 species